rnacentral:lncRNA from 1 species
CUGAGGUUAGGAGUUUGAGACCAGCCUGGCCAACAUGGUGAAACCCCAUCUCUAGUAAAAAUACAACAGUUAGCUGAGCCUAUAAUCCCAGCUACUCAGGAGGCUGAGGCAGAAGAAUCGCUUGAACCCAGGAGGCGGAGGUUGCAGUGAGCCGAGAUCAUGCCACUGCACUCCAGUCUGGGACAUAAAGACAGACUCCAUCUCAAAAAAAAAAGGUGAAUCUCAGUAUAUUAUCCUGAAAAGAGGUCCCUGACAGCCUGUUGCAUCAGAGGACAAUACAUGCAGUUCAAGCCAUUUUUGUCAAGUAUGUGUUUAUGUAUACGCAGAAUGACCUGAGGCAAGACAUUUAACUUCUCUGGCUCUCAGUUUCCUCUUCUAGGAAACAGGGAUAGUAACAGGGCUUACCUCCCAAGACUAUUUUGAGGAUUAAAUGAGUUAGUAUAUACAGUAAACAUUGGCUAAGUAUACUAUUAUUUUUAUGUACAUGGGAAAAGAUCUGAAGGCUACUGCAUAAACUGCUAACAACAAUUAUGAUAAUUAAUAAUAAUUUGGCCAGCUCACGCCUGUAAUCCCAGGAUUUUGGGAGGCUAAGGUGGGAGGAUCAAUUGAGCUCAGGAGGUGGAGGAUGCAGUGAGCUGUGAUCCCUACCACUGCAUUCCAGCCUGCGGACAGAGCAACACCCUGUCUCAGAAACAAACAGGCCAGGUGCAGUGGCUCACAUCUGUAAUCCCAGCACCUUGGGAGGCUGAGGUAGGCAGAACACCUGAGGUCAGGAGUUCGAGACCAGACUGGCCAACAUGGAGAAAC